UCUCGUGCCUCAGCUACCCAAAUAGCUGGAAUCACAGGCAUGCGCCACCACAUCUAAUUUUUGUAUUUACAGUAGGAGCCACUGUGCCUGGCACAGAGCUGUAGCUUUAUAAAUACACUGGAUGUCGUCUAAAUAAUGUCUUGACAGUGUGAAACAACACUUCUAAUAUAAUCCAGAAUUUAUAAAGCAAUGAAAAAUUCUAGGCAACACACUUUAAGGGGAUCACUGACAAAGAAUAUUGCCAGAGAUGAAUAACUCAUAUAGUGAUAAAUCCAAAAACCAUACC
rnacentral:lncRNA from 1 species